CAAACACCCCCACCAGGCCCCACCUCCAACACUGGGGAUAUGGAUGGGGAAAAACAUCCAAACCAUAUCACUAGCCAACUGAUGCCUUUCAUGCAAUUGAAUCUGUACUCUUUGUAAGUCAUUGACACAAAGUCAGACAUAAGAGAGCCUGGGCAGGUUUUCUAUUCUCCUGAGUGGAACCAUCAGACUUUUCUUGAGGGAUUGGCCCUCUAGUGAAGAGCAUGGAGUGGACUGGGCCAGGGAAAGAUCCUCAGAUAAUCCUUACAUAUCCCUCAGGAGGCAAGCAGAUGUUAUGUUCUGAAUCUCUCAGGACGGAGUGCUUACUGCUUCAAGGAUAAGAGCAGGAUAGCAAGAGGAAGAAGUAGAAGUUUGUGAAGGCGGUGAAUCCCCAAAGCUGAAAGUAAUUUCUAAUUCACUGUUGCGAUUUCAGGAUAUCCACAGUAGAUCAACUGAUGCUUCAGGACAAGAAUGAGGUGAAGCCAGAAAGGAAGAGUCAUAAUCAAAGAAGAGAGUGAUCAAGAAUCCAAAAUAGACAGAGAGAGCAGGCUCUUAGAGAAACGGGAGAACUACCGCACUGACUCUGCACGUAGGAGGCAGGCAGGAGAGGAGCGCCCCAGCCAGAGCUCAACAUGCGCAAACAGGAAGUGUGUCCAAGGUUUUCUGGAGCUCACAGGAGCCAGGGACCGACAGCCAGACGUUUAUCUGAAAGAAAAGCAGACAAGACAAACUAAAUCAGCAACCAUCCCUUUGGAUGCCAGCUGACCUCGGAUGGAGAUUUAGUGCUAGAUGUAAAAGGCUUUGUUUACAGACAAUUAAAAACCACAUAAAUUUAAAUUGUCAAAGAAGAAAUGGUUUCCAAAGCUUCUAACAGCCUGGUACCCCCUCCUCAGCCCUGUGCAGGAAAGGCCCAGAGGCAAAUACAAAGCCACCAACCCAAAUGCCUGUGGAGUUUGCCAGAAAGCCAGAUCCUGCUGCUUCUGCUGCUUGUUACUGCUGUUGAAAAAUAAAAUCUUAUACAGCUUCAAAUGUAGGUUCUUUGAGUGCUAAUCAAACAGCAAGAAGGCAACAGAUGACCACGGAGGAGGUGGCUGCACGAAAGUACACCACAAAGUAUGGAAUUACUGCAAUUAGGCCUUUCGGCAAUCAAUGUGUCUGAACCUUUUGUGUGCUCUCCAUUUUUUCCCACCGAAGGAACUAGAUGCAAAGAUUAAAAAGUGACACAAACACAAACGAUCGUCAGACUUAGAGCCUGAAAUAUUCUGAAUGUUCUUAUCUGUGUAUUUUACUUCUUCCCGUCAGCCAUCAGGCAAAAGGACUGAAGCUCCAGACAAGAGCAGCUCCAUAGGAAAAAACAAAAACAAAAAAACACCCUUCCAUGUUUGCAUCAAUAUUUGGUGCUGAUGUUGAUGAAUAAGUAAUGAUGUGUAGGUGUUGAUAACAUUUAUACACAGCCCUGAUUGGUUCUGACACAGGUGCUCCAUGGAGGAUGAGGUUUACAAGCCGAAAACGGUCAGGGGAAAGCCAUGGUUUCGGGCUGUCCCUCACAGAUGCAGGAUUUUGCACCUGUGUUUGAAGUUGCUCUUUCAUUUAGUUUCUCUGCAGAAAAGCCAGGCACAAUGUUCAAACUGGGAGCACCUGUGUUUGGGGCCAACUUGGACUAUUUUGUGGCCUGAAAGUGGUCUCUUAGAUUCAUUACUUAAACUUAACAAGAAAACUUUUUUUUCCCCUUGGAGUUUUAAAAUUGGAAGUUAAAAAAAUUAAGUUAUGGAUACACAUAUUAGUCUCAUUACAGGACCAAGCAUAUGCAAAGCAUUGUACAGCUUACUUACAUUAUUCAAGGACUUGAGUGAUAAAAGACAAAUGCCAUUAAAAAUUGGAUGAGCCCUGAAACCCUGCUCAUCGAUUGAAAUCUUUGUUUAAAUCACAAGGCAAUUUUCCUGUUAGGGAUGCGACAUUUAGGCACCAGAGUCAACUCAAAUUUAAUACAAUCUUAUUCUAUUCUAAUUUAAAGGCAGAAAUUGAACAUUGUUUACAGCUAAAUUAAAAUUUGGGUGAUUUUUUUCCUCUAAUAAACUGACAACAAUAUUGAUAGAUUCUUCACUUUCUGUUUAAUUGGGUUAAGAACAUUAAAAAUUCUCCAGUUUAAAAUAAUAAGUCUUUUGAAACCGUAACUAAUCUUUCAUUCCCUAAGGUUUGGCCAGUGACAACUGGAGGCAAAUCAAGAAGAAUUUAUCACUUGGAAUCAUGGCCACAAGUCUCAUUAAGAAAAUUGCAGGGAGAACAAUUAAAUGGCAUGUUCAAAUUCUUUGGACUUGGCAUUGGUAAAUCUGAAGGCUAAGCAUACGCAUUAUGUAAAUCUAUUGGUUGCUUUUUUAAGUCAAAUUUGUAAUGUAUGUUAUAUUUCAAAAUAAACUAUUUUAAUUUGUAUUAAAGAACAAAUGCAGGGGAAAAUGAUAUACUUAUCAUCAAUGUAAAAUAUAACUGUCUGACCAAAAUUCUGCUGAUAAAUUAUGCUGGUAACAGCAUUCUGAAGAAACAGAUGUAUUAUUUAGAUAUUAUAUCCAAGUGCAGGUGUCAAUAAAGUAAUUAUGUAUUAAAUAC